rnacentral:rRNA from 1 species
UACGUAGGAGGCAAACGUUAUCCGGAGUUACUGGGCGUAAAGGGCGUGUAGGCGGUUUGUUAAGUCUGGCGUGAAAGCUCUCGGCUAAACCGGGAGAGGUCGUUGGAUACUGGCAAACUAGAGGACGGUAGAGGCGUGUGGAAUUCCGGGUGUAGUGGUGAAAUGCGUAGAUAUCAGGAGGAACACCGAUGGCGAAGGCAGUUCUCUGGGCCGUAACUGACGCUGAGGAGCGAAAGCGUGGGGAGCGAACAGG